rnacentral:lncRNA from 1 species
GCCACCAGAUACAGCAAGUCAGCAUGUAUUCUCGACGUAUGUUAUGUAUGUAUACUAUAUAUACUAGGUAUUUUCUACAUGUAUGGCGGCCGCCAAAGCUAGCCACAUAGUUGGCUCCGCCAGUGUUAAGUACUAAGUUAGCUACACCAUUUUAAAAUGCAGAGAUAUGAUAAAUUGCUAAGAAAUUUACUGAAGAUAUAUACUUAUAAGCAUGUGAUACAAAGGAAAAAUAUGAGAUUCUCGCGAAAAAAAGGAAAAAUAUGAGAUGUCAUUUCGAGGCACC